GGUGUUUAAGUUGCUGAUCGCGACAGGCAGAAACAACUCGUCUUCAAAGAAAGGGAAACAGACAGGAGCGAGCGUCAGGGUGACAGGCGGAGCGGGGAGACGGAGGUCUGCGAGGAGAGAAAAGGGGGGGGUCCAGGGCAGUGCGGUGAGGAUUUUAAUUAGUGGUAAUUGGCCACCGAGGGAACUGAAACCGGGAGAGGAGAGAGGGGGGAGCACAGCAGACAGUUUUUGACAAGAGUGAUAUCUCUCUUGCUUUGUACCUCUCUAUUUCCUUCUGCACUUUCUUUUUCCCCGACGCAGGCCUUUCCAGCCCCAUCUUGUUUUCCCGCCAUCUUUUUGCACCUCCGACUGAGUUACUCCCACGCUUCCACCAGCUUCCCCUUAAAUACAGUAGACUGCAAACACACUAUACAGGAUUUGACAAGCGAGACAAGAUAAUCAACAUGUGCAGAUGUGCUGUAGAGAUGUGAAAGUCAGAACCAUUGCAGCUUUACAGCAGUGAUCAGCUCAUUGUUUGGCUUUUUCCAGACAAAUACAUCAAACAGCAGCUAAACAGUUUGUGACUAUAGCUUGUGAACGUAGGUUGCCUCUGCUGAAACGUGUCCUUUUCGAGUUGACUGUACUGAAAUGACUGUGAAAACUAAUUUUCCCUCAGGGGACAAUAGAGUCCAAAGUCUAAAGUAGUGGAGCGUUUAAAGUGACACGACUCCUGAGAUGUUUUCAGACAUGAACUCCAGGGCAUGCCUGCACAAUGGGAUCUGGACUCUUUGGAACGCAGCAGGAGAUUCUAUAUCCAUUUAGGAGCGUUCCGGUCAGGUGUGGCUCAAGGGUUAUCGCAGCAUGCAGCAGGAGAACCCAAGCACCGUCUCUGAUACCAGCCGCCUGUUCCUCUCUGUUUGCAACCGUGCGGCUACGUUUGAUCGGGAACUUGUUAUUAUUCAAUUGCGGCACAUCACAGCAGCUGAAUCAUCAACCAUACAACUGCCAUAGUGUUACCCCAAAACCUCAAGCUGUUUCUCAUUUCAGUGGAGAUUGUUGAUAUUGGAG